rnacentral:rRNA from 1 species
GACGAACCGUGCGAACGUUAUUCGGAAUCACUGGGCUUAAAGCGCGUGUAGGCGGGCCGCCGCGUCGGCUGCUGAAAUCCCCCGGCUCAACCGGGGAACGGGCACCGAUACGGGCGGCCUCGAGGGGGGUAGGGGGGGCCUGGAACGUUCCGGUGGAGCGGUGAAAUGCGUUGAGAUCGGAAGGAACGCCCGUGGCGAAAGCGAGGCCCUGGACCCUUACUGACGCUGAGACGCGAAAGCCAGGGGAGCGAACGGG